AUUGAACGCUGGCGGCAGGCUUAACACAUGCAAGUCGAGCGAGUGGCGGACGGGUGAGUAAUGUCUGGGAAACUGCCUGAUAGCGGGGGAUAACUACUGGAAACGGUAGCUAAUACCGCAUACCAUCAGAUGUGCCCAGAUGGGAUUAGCUAGUUGGUGGGGUAAUGGCUCACCUAGGCGACGCUCCCUAGCUGGUCUGAGAGGAUGACCAGCCACACUGGAACGGAGACACGGUCCAGACUCCUACGGGAGGCAGCAGUGGGGAAUAUUGCACAAUGGGCGCAAGCCUGAUUCAGCCAUGCCGCGUGUAUGAAGAAGGCCUUCGGGUUGUAAAGCACUUUCAGCUGGGAGGCGUUACCCGCAGAAGAAGCACCGGCUAACUCCGUGCCAGCAGCCGCGGUAAUUC
rnacentral:rRNA from 1 species